rnacentral:rRNA from 1 species
ACAGUUUGAUCCUGGCUCAUAACGAAUGUUGGCGGCGUGGAUUAGGCAUGCAAGUCGAACGAGAACCGUAGCAAUACGGGGAAAGUGGCGAAAGGGGCAGUAAUGCAUGGGUAAUCUACCCCGGGGACGUGGAUAGCUAUCCUAACGGGUAGGUAAUACACGGCGAUUCGGCGAGGAGACAUCUUCUUGCCGGGAAAUGAAUUUCGCCUCGGGAGGAGCUCAUGUCGUAUUAGCUUGUUGGCGGGGUAACGGCCCACCAAGGCAAAGAUGCGUAGCGGGUGUGAGAGCACGACCCGCGCCACUGGCACUGAGACACUGGCCAGACACCUACGGGUGGCUGCAGUCGAGGAUCUUCGGCAAUGUGCGCAAGCAUGACCGAUCGACGCCGCGUGUGCGACGAAGGCCUUCGGGUUGUAAAGCACUGUCCAGGGGGAGGAAGACCCGAAAGGGUUUGACCUAUCCCUGGAGGAAGCACGGGCUAAGUUCGUGCCAGCAUCCGCGGUAAGACGAACCGUGCAAACGUUGUUCGGAAUCACUGGGCUUAAAGGGCGCGUAUGCGGGCCGCAAAGUCGGGGGUGAAAUCCUCCAGCUCAACUGGAGAACUGCCUUUGAUACUGGCGGCCUGGAGUAAGGUAGGGGCGUGCGGAACUGAUGGUGGAGCGGUGAAAUGUGUUGAUAUCAUCAGGAACUCCGGUGGCGAAAGCGGCACGCUGGACCUUCACUGACGCUGAUGCGCGAAAGCCAGGGGAGCAACGGGAUUAGAUACCCCGGUAGUCCUGCCCUAAACGAUGAGUACUAUGUUGUAGACUUGACAUGGGUUUACAGCCGGAGCAAAAGUGCUAACUACUCCGCCUGUGGAGUAUGGUCGCAAGGCUGAAACUCCAAGGAAUUGACGG